UUCCGGUUGAUCCCGCCGGACCUGACUGCUAUCGGAUUGAUACUAAGCCAUGCGAGUCAUUGUAGCAAUACAAGGCAGACGGCUCAGUAACGCGUAGUCAACCUAACCUAUGGACGGGAAUAACCUCGGGAAACUGAGAAUAAUGCCCGAUAGAACACUAUGCCUGGAAUGGUAUGUGUUCCAAAUGAUUUAUCGCCGUAGGAUGGGACUGCGGCCUAUCAGUUUGUUGGUAAGGUAAUGGCCCACCAAGACUAUUACAGGUACGGGCUCUGAGAGGAGUAGCCCGGAGAUGGGUACUGAGACACGGACCCAGGCCCUAUGGGGCGCAGCAGGCGAGAAAACUUUGCAAUGUGCGAAAGCACGACAAGGUUAAUCCGAGUGGUUUCUGCUAAAGGAACCUUUUGUCGGUCCUAGAAACACCGAUGAAUAAGGGGUGGGCAAGUUCUGGUGUCAGCCGCCGCGGUAAAACCAGCACCUCAAGUGGUCAGGAUGAUUAUUGGGCCUAAAGCAUCCGUAGCCUGCUUUGUUAGUUUUCGGUUAAAUCUAUGCGCUCAACGUAUAGGCUGCCGGGAAUACUGCAAAGCUAGGGAGUGGGAGAGGUAGACGGUACUCGGUAGGAAGGGGUAAAAUCCUUUGAUCUAUUGAUGACCACCUGUGGCGAAGGCGGUCUACCAGAACACGUCCGACGGUGAGGGAUGAAAGCUGGGGGAGCAAACCGGAUUAGAUACCCGGGUAGUCCCAGCCGUAAUCCAUGCAAACUCAGUGAUGCAUUGGCUUGUGGCCAAUGCAGUGCUGCAGGAAAGCCGUUAAGUUUGCCGCCUGGGAAGUAUGUACGCAAGUAUGAAACUUAAAGGGAUUUGGCGGGGGAGCACCACAAGGGGUGAAGCCUGCGGUUCAAUUGGAGUCAACGCCGGG
rnacentral:rRNA from 1 species